CUACGAGAUUCAGGUCUGUUCUGCCACCCGCAGUGGGCAUCCCCUGCAAAGUCAGCUGUGAUUCCAGGUGUUCAUGCUGCCGCCCGCCUCCCCCCCAUCCACCUCCUUCCAUCAUAUCCAGUACCAGGAGAGCUAAUCCAAAGACCUCAUCACACCUCCUCUUCAUCCCAUCUCCUCAUCAAAUCCAGAUCUUCAGCAUUAUCACCAGUGUCUAGACCCCGGGGGUUUCCCUAUAUGCUCACGGCUGCAUUUCCCCUCUUAGAUAUACGAUUUCAGGAUCGGGGUCUAAUCGCCAAAGACUUAACAUUUAUCAUAUGACAUGUGUCAAUAAAUGUUCUUUGAACAAAAUGAAGUCUCUCCUGAUUGAACUGUCUGGACCCCAUCCUCAACUUUUUUCAAACCAUAACAUGCCUUCAGAGGGCUUUCCUGUUGAUAAUGUUUGGUGGAUUUUUUAAUAGAAUAAUUGUAAUCAAUAUUUUAUUACCUUUUAAUCUAUAUGAAUUGUAUUAAAAAAUGUUGUCACUAUUUUGUUCACCUAGUUCUACAUGCCAGCCAUCAGAGGUAUACAUUUGUUAACAUCUCUUUUAGGUUUCAUUUCUUAUAUUUAUGAAUUUCUAUAUAAAAUGCUAAUUUCUACCUGAAAUGCUUAUGUAUUUUUAAUUACAUUUUCGUAAAGCUUUCACUUUUUCAGCGGAAUAAAUAUUAUAACUGGUUUUAUUCAGCAUUGCCAGCUUCACUGUUGAGCGUGAUGUUGUGCCCAGCACUCUCCUGUCCUGUGCUCUGAAAUCAAAAUGUGGAUAAGAAUAAAACAACACUAAAAUAAACACUACAAUACAACUUGUAAAACUUUUGAAAAAA